UUCAUUGCCAAAACUAUAUUAGAAAUAUUUUGCAACCAAAAUUUUUGGCGUUGUGAAAUCAAAUUUCGCUAUCGUUGAGUGAUAUGCGGCCGGUUUUAGUGCAAAAUCAAUUGAUUUUGUACAUACAAAUAAAAGUAUGGCUCGCAGUUUGCCGACUCUGGUCACGUUAAGUUGGGUGGCGAAAGAUUUAUUUACAAUUCAUCGUGGCAAGUAUCAAACAAGAAAAUAGAACCCGCAGAAUAUUGUAGCGUCCUUUCUGCUUCUCAAUUUUGAACAGUGCGACAAUACAGCUGGUACUAGCCUAUAGGUAUUGUAAAAAUAAAUUUACAAGUAUACUAU
rnacentral:lncRNA from 1 species